UAGAGCUGGAGCCCAGGAAGUCAACCUAGCUGUAAAGUGUACCAAUUUUCUCCUAUAUGGUAUCAAUGCAUGUAUAUCUGGUAUCAGGCAGAAUGUCAUUGGUACAACUCGGUUUUAUACGGUAGGCUAGUUGUCGGUCGCAUGUAUUUCUGAGAGACUGGGUGAUGUUGAUGUUGUGUAACCGGAAGGUUUUUAUAAUUUCUCUGUUGAACAAAUAAAGGAUACAGUACAUUAUGCUGGCUGGAACUUGCAUUGAAGACUAAUCUCUGGGACUGCGGUUGACGAUCAUAGCUGAACAUGUUGAUGCCAGCAAGCUGUGUUCCGAUGGCAUAGAGCCUCAUCUCACGAAAGAGGUCCUUGCCCCUCUAGGAUAGCAACAAGUUGCAGACUUAAAGAUGGUUUCCCAGAAAAGGAUUUAUCAGGCGUUUAUUUCCAAUAAAAGGGUUGUAAAUUAAUAAUCCACUAGUGCCGGUGUGACAGUUUGAAUUGACUCCCGGUGUGUGUUUGCUUCUGGGCACUUGCGCAUGUCCGAAACUGAUGUUAGCGUUUACAAUGAAACUAUAUCUACUUCCGGUGUUGUGAGAUGGUUCCUGAUCAGUUGAGGAAAGAGUAUUACGUAUUUGGUUAAAGUUUUAUCAUGAAUAAACGUACUUGUUACCGUGAUUAGCUGUUGUUUUAGUGAUCAGUAGUUACACGAUCAACGGAUCUAAGUUGAUUGGCUUGAAACUAAUACUUCUCUCGUUCGUUAUUUGUUGCCGUUGUGGUUUUUUUUAAGUGAUUACGUUGCACUUUUUGAGAUUUAACUAUGUUUAAUUAAAUAAAAAAUUUGCAGAUUGAAUAUUGCCCUUUAUAUGAUUGGGGAUUCUCUGUUAUCUUAAUUUUGUACUUCUUAUCAAAAUUUUUACAACUUCACAAUAUAGCCUACAUGUAUCUGUUUUAUUACUCAUAUUAGGGGUUUCAGGUUACGUGACUUUAGCGUGAAAUCUUACAGUCAGCGGCUGAAAUAUAGUCCACGUCAAAAUACGAUUCUAAAUGACUAUUUUAUUUAAAUAUAUUACUAGCAAUUGUAUUGUAAUAGUUUAAUAUCAACCUCAAUGUCUGCUAAGAUUCGUCUAAUAUUAAUCUUGCAAAAUGUUGAUGUAUCUUAGAU